UACGUAGGGUGCAAGCGUUAUCCGGAUUCACUGGGUUUAAAGGGUGCGUAGGCGGAUUUGUAAGUCCGUGGUGAAAUCUCUAAGCUUAACUUGGAAAUUGCCGUGGAUACUAUAAGUCUUGAAUAUUGUGGAGGUUAGCGGAAUAUGUCAUGUAGCGGUGAAAUGCAUAGAUAUGACAUAGAACACCAAUUGCGAAGGCAGCUGGCUACACAACUAUUGACGCUGAGGCACGAAAGCGUGGGGAUCGAACAGG
rnacentral:rRNA from 1 species